AGGUGUAAAAUUAAAUUUACUAGAGAAGAGGAAUUUACAAAUCUGUCCCUCGACCUGAUACCUGGUUGUGGAACAGUAGAGGAAAUGCUUCAAAAUUACCUGAAGAAGACACAGGUAGAGUUUCAAUGUGAGUGUGGUUCCAACGCAUCAUGGCAGAAAGUUUCCUUCAUUAGCCUGCCAAAAGUGCUGGUGUUGCACCUGAAGCGAUUUGUGUUUUUUUCAGUGUUUGGGUCAAUGAAGGUCCGACGGCCUGUUUGCCUUUCUAAGGACUUGAUGCUCCCA